UAUGGUUGCAAUAGAGUAGGAGAUACACCUGUUCCCAUUCCGAACACAGAAGUUAAGCCCUGCAUCGCUGAUAAUACUUGGAGGGCAGCCUCCUGGGAAAGUAGGACGCAGCCAAUU
rnacentral:rRNA from 1 species